CACAAACGCAGGGCCACAAAUCCUUGGUGUUUCAGGUGCUGCCUCAGAAGAUAGUUUUUCUGGAAGUCUGUGGCCACCCACUCAGCCUGCUCUAAGGACCACCUCUCCUGGUGCCCUCCAUCACCCAAAUCCAUGAAGCCAACUUUAUUACACUUUCAUCGUUGCCUUUUACAAGACUCCUCCUGCGUAGCUGAGAUUACAAGUAUGCACUGCCGUACCCCACACUUACAGUUAAAAGAAAAGGU
rnacentral:lncRNA from 1 species